CUGAUAAUAAAUAUAAUCUCUCAACCCCCAAUUUAAGAUGAUGGCUUCUUCCUUCAAGGAACCCAUUUCUUUUUGUGCAAACUAAAUAAAAUAAAAUAGAAUAAAAAUCAAUUGGAAUAAAAAUUGAAGUUCAUUAUUGUAAAUCAGUUACAUUUUGGACAUGGAACAAUAUGUUACUGGUGAAAUAUGAAGGAAUUGAAAUCUUAGAUCAAAAUACUAUGUAUGGAUGGUAUGAAUUGCCUAAACAAUAAUUCUUGAACAACGAGCAAACAUGAGCGAUUCAGCAGAUUUGGAUUCCUAUAUAUCCACUCAUGUAGUACUUUCUAUAUGUAGUUUCUUUGUUUGUUUUAAUUUGCACAGGCACCGGCGAAGGUAUUGAAAUACCAUCAAUGCUAAUCUUGGCAUGUUCGGAGCGAUAAAAGAAAUAACUGAUUAGUUCUUGUACUCUAUUGUAGGUAUUUUUUUUUUUAAAUUGAGAUUCUCAAAUGGUUUUAACUGAAAAGUAGUUUGGAAAUGCAGGACCAAUGCAUACAUGCACUCCAAAUUCAUGUGCAAACACAAAACCCAGAAAAAUAGGAGAUUCCCAAGGUUAUGAAAUAGGAAAGAAACACUUAAACAUCUCACUGCUUUUUUUUUUUUCUGGUGUAGAAAGAAUCUACUGGGAAGGUGAUAUGAUGGUGGAGGUGUUGAAGGUGAUCUAGUGGACAUGGUGGCUCCUCCAGUAGGGGUGUUUCUGCACCAGGAAAUAGAAAUAACAUUUCAAGCCAGGAAAUGGAAAACUAAAGCAAGGCGAGGGGUUAUGAUAACUGAAGUUUCUGAGUCUCCUACAUUAAUUAUACCUUACAAAUGUAGCAUUGAAGAGAAAGAUAAAGCAAAGGAAUCAAAGCUUAAAUCUCGCCAUCUUAAGGAUAAUGUUUCUAAACAGGUGGAGCAAGCCAGCCAUGAAUGGUCCCACUAGUCAUCAUGAAGAUAUUCAGCUGGAACUGUCAGGUAAUUGGAAGAGCCUUGACAAUUAGAUGUCUAAGGGAACAAGUUGUUCUUUAUCUUCUAGAUUUUAUUUUUCUAAUAAAAAUAAAGGUUUUGGAUGCUCAUGUAUGCAUAAUUUUACAUGCAUAUGGUUAUCUUGAUCAAGUUAUAAUCAGCUCUGUUGGUACCUUGGGUGGGUUAGCCCUAGGAUGGAAAGACAUUUUUUCAAAUCCUAUCUAAAUGAGAUACUUUUGUCAUUGUAAAGUUAGAAAUUUUGAUUCAUACUGGGACUUGUUUGUAUGUUAUCUUAGUUGUAACUGUAUAGUACGUAGUACUCAAAUCAAUAUUAUGUUUGCUUAUUAUCA